rnacentral:rRNA from 1 species
AGCAGCCGCGGUAAUUCCAGCUCCAAUAGCGUAUAUUAAAGUUGUUGCAGUUAAAAAGCUCGUAGUUGAAUUUCGGGGUUCAUCCGUUGGUCGGGCUUUUUGGUCUGUACUGGCGUGAUGGAUUCCUACCUUCUGAAUAACCAGCAUGUCAUUAAUUUGGUGCGCUGGGGAAGCAGGACUGUUACCUUGAAAAAAUUAGAGUGCUUAAAGCAGGCUAUCGCCUGAAUACAUUAGCAUGGAAUAAUGAAAUAGGACGGCAUGGUUCUAUUUUGUUGGUUUCUAGGAUCACCGUAAUGAUUAAUAGGGAUAGUUGGGGGCAUUAGUAUUCAAUUGUCAGAGGUGAAAUUCUUGGAUUUAUUGAAGACUAACUACUGCGAAAGCAUUUGCCAAGGAUGUUUUCAUUAAUCAAGAACGAAAGUUAGGGGAUCGAAGACGAUCAGAUACCGUCGUAGUCUUAACCAUAAACUAUGCCGACUAGGGAUCGGAUGAUGUUAAUUUUUUAAUGACUCAUUCGGCGCCU